rnacentral:sRNA from 1 species
GACUUUCAGAAGAUGAAGGUAAGUAGAAACCAUUGAUGGGACUGAGAAACCAGAGUUAAAAUCUCUUGGGAGCUUCUGAGGACUCAGCUGGGACCAACGGGCCACAGUUGGCAACACCAUUAUGACAUCACAACCUGUUCCCAAUGAGACCAUCAUAGUGCUCCCAUCAAAUGUCAUCAACUUCUCCCAAGCAGAGAAACCCGAACCCACCAACCAGGGGCAGGAUAGCCUGAAGAAACAUCUACACGCAGAAAUCAAAGUUAUUGGGACUAUCCAGAUCUUGUGUGGCAUGAUGGUGUUGAGCUUGGGGAUCAUUUUGGCAUCUGCUUCCUUCUCUCCAAAUUUUACCCAAGUGACUUCUACGCUGUUGAACUCUGCUUACCCAUUCAUAGGACCCUUUUUUUUUAUGAUCUCUGGCUCUCUAUCAAUCGCCACAGAGAAAAGGUUAACCAAGCUUUUGGUGAGUAUGAGAACUAUAACCCACAACCCAAUGGAUCAAAAUAAAACUUAGACAGAACUUGUUAAGGCUAGUCUUUCUACUUUGAAAAG